UCGGGACAGAGGAGACAGGUGGUGCAUGGUUGUCGUCAGCUCGUGUCGUGAGAUGUUGGGUUAAGUCCCGCAACGAGCGCAACCCCUAUCCUUAGUAGCCAGCAGUUCGGCUGGGCACUCUAGGGAGGCUGCCAGGGAUAACCUGGAGGAAGGCGGGGAUGACGUCAAAUCAUCAUGCCCCUUAUGACCUGGGCUACACACGUACUACAAUGGCCGUCAACAGAGGGCAGCGAAACCGCGAGGUGGAGCAAAUCUCUAAAAACGGUCUCAGUUCGGAUUGUAGGCUGAAACUCGCCUACAUGAAGUCGGAAUUGCUAGUAAUCGCGAAUCAGCAUGUCGCGGUGAAUACGUUCCCGGGCCUUGUACACACCGCCCGUCACACCAUGAGAGUCGGAAACACCCGAAGCUGGUAGCCU
rnacentral:rRNA from 1 species